GACAGAGGAGCCAAGCGUUGUCCGGAUUGACUGGGCGUAAAGCGCACGCAGGCGGUCGCGCGCGCGGGGUGUGAAAACUGGCGGCUUAACUGCCAGAGGCCAUCCCAUACGGCACGACUCGAGCCAUGCAGAGGUCCACGGAAUUGCCGGUGUAGUGGUGAAAUGCGUAGAGAUCGGCAGGAACACCCAGGGGGAAACCAGUGGACUGGGCAUGUGCUGACGCUCAGGUGCGAAAGCGUGGGGAGCGAACCGG
rnacentral:rRNA from 1 species